UACAGAGGUCUCGAGCGUUGUUCGGAUUCAUUGGGCGUAAAGGGUGCGUAGGCGGCGGGGUAAGUCUGAUGUGAAAUCCCGGGGCUCAACUCCGGAACUGCAUUGGAUACUGCCUUGCUUGAGAGCUGGAGAGGAAACUGGAAUUUACGGUGUAGCAGUGAAAUGCGUAGAGAUCGUAAGGAAGACCAGUGGCGAAGGCGGGUCUCUGGACAGUUCCUGACACUGAGGCACGAAGGCCAGGGGAGCAAACGGG
rnacentral:rRNA from 1 species